UACUCUUAAAAGUUGUGGAUGAAAAUAUGAGGAGAAACAGGUGUGAUGGAUGGGUGGGUGGAUGAUUGGUGGUCCGAAUGUAAUGGAUGUUGUUAUAACAGUCUCAAACCGCCAAAAACUGUAAAGAGCCAAGCAAAGCAAAAUCAAUGGCGUGUCUUCAGUCCGUAUGGUGUUUGCAUUCUUUACCUUCCACAGCAGCAGCUCCUCUUCCUCAUCCUCUUCGUCUCUUCAGUAAGUCCAAAAGGCUGCAAGUUAUCUCUUGCGGGAACAACCAUGACCUCCAUCAAAAUCCAUGUAUUGGAGUUGAGUAUCAAUCAGGAACUCAAAGGAGACAAGUAUUGUUCCAGACAGUCCUUGCUGCAUUUUCUUUUCCUCCAAUUCUUUCCCUUGCAUUGGCAGACAGCGAUACACCAGGGGAUUUCCGCCUUUACGCUGAUGAAGCGAACAAGUUCAAAAUAAUGAUUCCCCAAGAUUGGCAAGUGGGUGCAGGAGAUAAUAAUGGAGUCAAAUCAGUAACUGGAUUUUUCCCCGAUGAACCUUCUAGUUCAAAUGUCACCGUAGUAAUCACGGGCCUUGGUGCCGAUUUUACCAGAUUGGAAUCUUUUGGUAAAGUUGAUGCUUUUGCAGAGAAUCUGGUUAGCGGACUGGACAGAAGCUGGCAAAGACCACCGGGUGUGAGAGCAAAACUCAUAGACUCUAAAACUGCUAAUGGUUUGUAUUACAUUGAAUAUACACUGCAAAAUCCUGGCCAAAGUUGCAGACAUUUGAUUUCAGUGCUUGGGAUAGCGAACAAUGGUUGGUAUAACAGACUAUAUACCGUCACUGGACAGUUUGUUGAUGAGGAUUCAGAAAAAUAUGGCUCCAAAAUUGAGAAGGCUGUUUCAUCGUUCAGAUUAAACUGAGAUUCUGAGGUAAUAAUAUAUGGUUUGGAGUCCUUAUUCACUAACUUGGCAAGUGGAACUGGAUCCUUUCCAUUUUUGCUUUCAACAUCGGCUCUCAUCGCUGCAACAUGUCCAAUUGAAGUCAAGUUUACUAAAGGAAGCAAAGCAUUGAAUGAUGUUUGCAUCCUGGCCGAGGAUUUCCAUGCACCUGGAGCCAGCUGUUUGGAAGACACCAAGAGGCGGCUAGAUUGUGGCAUAUUUACUCUCUGUUUUACUUUUGUUAUUCCUAGCCUUUCUUGCAACUCUUCUUGAAGUACGCUGGAACCUUUAUUAUCUAUUUGACUAGGAAAUUUAUUCUUAAUACCACCAGAAAGAGAUAGACAAAAACUACCUUGGUGAUUGCAUUGAAUUAACAUAAAGUGCCCAAAAAUAUUUUGCUAAAA